rnacentral:rRNA from 1 species
AGUGAACGCUGGCGGUAGGCCUAACACAUGCAAGUCGAACGGCAGCACAGUAAGAGCUUGCUCUUACGGGUGGCGAGUGGCGGACGGGUGAGGAAUACAUCGGAAUCUACUUUUUCGUGGGGGAUAACGUAGGGAAACUUACGCUAAUACCGCAUACGACCUACGGGUGAAAGCAGGGGAUCUUCGGACCUUGCGCGAUUGAAUGAGCCGAUGCCGGAUUAGCUAGUUGGCGGGGUAAAGGCCCACCAAGGCGACGAUCCGUAGCUGGUCUGAGAGGAUGAUCAGCCACACUGGAACUGAGACACGGUCCAGACUCCUACGGGAGGCAGCAGUGGGGAGUAUUGGACAAUGGGCGCAAGCCUGAUCCAGCCAUACCGCGUGGGUGAAGAAGGCCUUCGGGUUGUAAAGCCCUUUUGUUGGGAAAGAAAAGCAGCAGGUUAAUACCCCGCUGUUCUGACGGUACCCAAAGAAUAAGCACCGGCUAACUUCGUG